rnacentral:pre_miRNA from 22 species
UCUCUGUCUCCAGUGUCUCGCCAGUGGUUUUACCCUAUGGUAGGUUACGUCAUGCUGUUCUACCACAGGGUAGAACCACGGACGGGAUGUUAGGAGGUG